GCGGGCGUGGCGAAACAGGCAGACGCGCGGGCCUUAGGAGCCCGUUCCGCAAGGAGUGUGGGUUCAAGUCCCUCCGCCCGCACCA
rnacentral:tRNA from 1 species